GACUUCAGUCCCAUUGCUGAAUGAAGGCUUCUAAAGAAACACACACACACACACACGCACACACACACACUCAAACUCACAGAUACCUGUGGGUUCUAUGCUGUUCCAGCCCAGCAGGUCAGGGUGCAGUCGGCUCGCCCCUGAUUGGCCAGCAGCUCCUUCCCUUCCAGACUUGGCCUCCAGGCCCUGCCCUUCUUCUCCAGCUGGUGCCUCCUCAGGCCUUCUGUAUAUGUGCCACAUUUUCUUUAUCCAGUCUAUUAUUG
rnacentral:lncRNA from 1 species